AUUGAACGCUGGCGGCAUGCCUUACACAUGCAAGUCGAACGGCAGCACGGGUGCUUGCACCUGGUGGCGAGUGGCGAACGGGUGAGUAAUACAUCGGAACGUACCUUAUCGUGGGGGAUAACGCAGCGAAAGCUGUGCUAAUACCGCAUACGCCCUGAGGGGGAAAGCGGGGGAUCGCAAGACCUCGCGCGAUUAGAGCGGCCGAUGCCUGAUUGGGUUGUUGGUGGGGUAAAAGUCCACCAAGGCGACGAUCGGUAGCUGGUCUGAGAGGACGAUCAGCCACACUGGGACUGAGACACGGCCCAGACUCCUACGGGAGGCAGCAGUGGGGAAUUUUGGACAAUGGGGGCAACCCUGAUCCAGCAAUGCCGCGUGAGUGAAGAAGGCCUUCGGGUUGUAAAGCUCUUUUGUCAGGGAAGAAACACCGGCUCUAACACAGUCUGGGAAUGACGGUACCUGAAGAAUAAGCACCGGCUAACUACGUGCCAGCAGCCGCGGUAA
rnacentral:rRNA from 1 species